rnacentral:rRNA from 1 species
CUUUCAGGGUCCGUAGUUGUAAUUUGUAGAAGAUGCUUCGGGUGUGGUCCCGGUCUAAGUUCCUUGGAACAGGACGUCAUAGAGGGUGAGAAUCCCGUAUGUGACUGGGUACCUACGCUCAUGUGAAGCUCUUUCGACGAGUCGAGUUGUUUGGGAAUGCAGCUCAAAAUGGGUGGUAAAUUUCAUCUAAAGCUAAAUAUUGGCCAGAGACCGAUAGCGCACAAGUAGAGUGAUCGAAAGAUGAAAAGCACUUUGGAAAGAGAGUUAAACAGUACGUGAAAUUGUUGAAAGGGAAGCGCUUGCAAUCAGACUUGCGUCUAGUUGAUCAUCCGGGCUUCUGCCCGGUGCACUCGAUUAGGCUCAGGCCAGCAUCGGUUUGGGUGGUUGGAUAAAGGCCUGGGGAACGUAGCCUCCUUCGGGGGGUGUUAUAGC